rnacentral:rRNA from 1 species
GAUGAACGCUGGCGGCGUGCCUAAUACAUGCAAGUCGAGCGAACAGACGAGGAGCUUGCUCCUCUGACGUUAGCGGCUGACGGGUGAGUAACACGUGGAUAACCUACCUAUAAGACUGGGAUAACUUCGGGAAACCGGAGCUAAUACCGGAUAAUAUAUUGAACCGCAUGGUUCAAUAGUGAAAGACGGUUUUGCUGUCACUUAUAGAUUUAUCCGCGCCGCAUUAGCUAGUUGGUAAGGUAACGGCUUACCAAGGCGACGAUGCGUAGCCGACCUGAGAGCGUGAUCGGCCACACUGGAACUGAGACACGGUCCCGACUCCUACGGGAGGCAGCAGUAGGGAAUCUUCCGCAAUGGGAGAAAGCCUGACGGAGCAACGCCGCGUGAGUGAUGAAGGUCUUCGGAUCGUAAAACUCUGUUAUUAGGGAAGAACAAAUGUGUACGUAACUAUGCACGUCUUGACGGUACCUAAUCAGAAAGCCACGGCUAACUACGUG